ensembl:lncRNA
GUUUCCCGGGGCAGAGGCCAGACUGAGUCAGUGAAUUUUGCGGCGGUGCCUCCCUCUUUAUUUUUGGCUGUGGCCUGUUUGCACAGGCUUCCUGUGUGGCAGUUGCUGACCUUUGGCAGCCAAACCACCGGCCCAAGGGGACAUUCUUCCUUCACUAACUCAGACCUGAGGGUCAAAGAAUGAGACAGGCUGAGCCCAGGUGAUGACGGAGGGGGGAGUUGACCUGGGAAACAUGUUAGAAUCUGAGCCUGGCCAGAGAGGGAGACAGGCUCUGAAAGCUGUUGGCAACAGGCUCAAAAGGGUGUAAGUGAAAGACCGAGAUUCGUCAAGCAAGGGAGGCACUCAAGUGACUCUACUGGAUCACAUUAUGCUAAUCGUCUUUCGUCUGUGAGAACAGUGUCUAGUUACGCAUGUCUGUUUACUCCGUUUACUCCGUUACGGUUACUCUUAGCAGUGCUUGCGUUGGCGUUGGACUCACCAGGAUGUGACUUCAUCAUGUUCAGUUACACAGGAGCUCGGAAAGGCAGGUCCCAAAGCCGACAACUGUGUUCAGCAGUGAACCUCCUCUGAAAAGCGACCCACGGUGUGGCUUCUCUUCAACUCCAUUCCUUGUGUGGAAAAGACCUCAUUUUCAUGUGGUUGAAAAUGUGGUCUUUGGAAGAACUGACCUUGCUUAAUGAAGUCAGACUGAAUUAUAAACUAAGAAUUGGGUUUUUUUUUUGUUCAGAACAACUAGAAGGAACACAUGUUAAAAGCAGAAGAUGGGGUCUAAGCACGGCAGAAGGUUCUGCACUGUGGCGUGGCUGUGUGCAGGAGGCCAGCCACCUGGGCCUGAAUCCCCACUGUAGCUGAAUUUCAUUGAAUAGGCCAGGUUUAAUGACUACUGUGACAGAGUGCCCAGGUUAUAACUGAAAAACCACUAAGGACUCAGGGGAUCUCCUGGAAUAGGAGCCUACUGAUUCCCCAAAGGUUGAGCUGAGCUGUGUGGUGUCUCUCCUGAACUUAGUCUCUUUGUAAGGAAAUCUCUGAAGGGACUGAGACACGAAGCCUGGAAACAAUGUGUGUGUGGGGGUGACUUUUCUGCAUGGCCAACGUGGAGGAAUGGCUGGACAUGAUCCAUGGAGGGCCACCCAGCAGUUUGGAUGAAGAGUCUGGAUUAGAAACUUGGAAUUUUCAUGUCAUCCUCCCAAACUCUGCAAACCUGGUCCACGAAACCAAAGUUUUCUAAGACUUUGAAGCCCAAAGCAUUUGCUGAUGGCCUACUUGCUGCAGUUAUCAAGAACACUAAAAAUCCAAGGCUAUCCCUGGUCUCUUAACUCACAACUAAAUGAAUUCAAACACAUACAUAGGACCCUCAAAUUUGACACAUGAGCAAGUUCAAGCUGUCCUGCCAGAAAAGGAGACCAGGUGAAUGAGAUCUGAGUCAGCUCCUUUGUCCCAGGGAGGCUGCAGAUUGGCUAGACUAAUGUGUGACUGACCACUGAUGCAUGAAAGAGUCUCACAGAAGAACUUCUCUCAGAAGAUUCUAAGUUGCUGACUCUCAGAUAUAUAUUGU